UCGACACUGUUAAAAGACACACGUCACAGAGAAGUAUUGGAACACAAACUCAAACACAGACCAGAAGUACUCAAACUUGUAAUAAUCAUGUUGAGGAGAUACCUGAGAUUAUUUUAAACGAAGCGGAUAUCACACAGAAUUGAGGAAUAUUGCCAGAAGUAGUUCAUAUUCAGACUAAGACAUGUACAUAGGAAUAAAUCUAACAUUCAAUUGUGAAUUUUGUUGCAGUUCAAAAAUUUCUGGACAUUUUAGUGACAUAUAAGUGUGAAAUUUUGACAAAUUAAAAAACGAGAGUUA